rnacentral:rRNA from 1 species
UGAUCGGUACGGGUUGUGAGAGCAAGAGCCCGGAGAUGGAUUCUGAGACACGAAUCCAGGCCCUACGGGGCGCAGCAGGCGCGAAAACUUUACAAUGCGAGAAAUCGUGAUAAGGGAACCCCGAGUGCCCGUAAAUUCGGGCUGUCCGCCAGUGUAAAUAACUGGUGAAGAAAGGGCCGGGCAAGACCGGUGCCAGCCGCCGCGGUAAUACCAGCGGCUCGAGUGGUGGCCACUAUUACUGGGCUUAAAGCGUCCGUAGCUGGAUUGUUAAGUCUCUUGGGAAAUCCACCGGCUCAACCGAUGGGCGUUCAGGAGAAACUGGCAAUCUAGGGACCGGGAGAGGUGAGAGGUACUCCAGGGGUAGGAGUGAAAUCCUGUAAUCCUUGGGGGACCACCUGUGGCGAAGGCGUCUCACUAGAACGGCUCCGACAGUGAGGGACGAAAGCUGGGGGAGCAAACCGGAUUAGAUACCCGGGUAGUCCCAGCUGUAAACGAUGCGCGUUAGGUGUAUCGGUGACCACGAGUCAUCGAGGUGCCGAAGGGAAACCGUGAAACGU